rnacentral:lncRNA from 1 species
GAUUUUUUCUUGCAGAGUUUUUGCAAGCCUACAACACCGAAUCUCAAACACCACAGUGACCGAUCAGCUGGACUUAUGUGGAAGGAUGGCUGACCCAGGGAGGUCAUGUUUAUCUCUAAGAGGGGAGCAAGUGUCUCCUAAAAGCCUGUCGGAGCUGGUAAAAUGGGCCCAACAACAUGGACACCUUACAGAGGUGGCACUGAUAUGCAGUGUUUCUGAAUGACGUGAUAUAGGAGAUCAGAUGUGGGACUGUAUGAUAUCUGUGGGGAAGGAUGAGAAGUUACUGAAGCCUCUGGGACCGCUGUGGAGUGCUGUUGCCAACACCUUGAAGGCCAUGCAGGCGGAAUGGCAGGUCGCAGCAGUGGCCAUGCAUGCUUUAUUGGGGACAGCCUCUCCAUCUACCUCUUUAAUGGAGACCCCAGUGAAGGGGCUCACACACCCUGUUUGUUCAUCUGCUGCGAAGCUUAAGGCUGCAGUAGGGGACUCU